UUGCGGACAGUGUCUGGUGGGUAGUUUGACUGGGGCGGUCUCCUCCUAAAGAGUAACGGAGGAGCACGAAGGUUGGCUAAUCCUGGUCGGACAUCAGGAGGUUAGUGCAAUGGCAUAAGCCAGCUUGACUGCGAGCGUGACGGCGCGAGCAGGUGCGAAAGCAGGUCAUAGUGAUCCGGUGGUUCUGAAUGGAAGGGCCAUCGCUCAACGGAUAAAAGGUACUCCGGGGAUAACAGGCUGAUACCGCCCAAGAGUUCAUAUCGACGGCGGUGUUUGGCACCUCGAUGUCGGCUCAUCACAUCCUGGGGCUGAAGUAGGUCCCAAGGGUAUGGCUGUUCGCCAUUUAAAGUGGUACGCGAGCUGGGUUUAGAACGUCGUGAGACAGUUCGGUCCCUAUCUGCCGUGGGCGCUGGAGAACUGAGGGGGGCUGCUCCUAGUACGAGAGGACCGGAGUGGACGCAUCACUGGUGUUCGGGUUGUCAUGCCAAUGGCACUGCCCGGUAGCUAAAUGCGGACGAGAUAAGUGCUGAAAGCAUCUAAGCACGAAACUUGCCCCGAGAUGAGUUCUCCCUGACUCCUUGAGAGUCCUGAAGGAACGUUGAAGACGACGACGUUGAUAGGCCGGGUGUGUAAGCGCAGCGAUGCGUUGAGCUAACCGGUACUAAUGAACCGUGAGGCUUAACCUUACAACGCCGAAG
rnacentral:rRNA from 1 species